rnacentral:rRNA from 1 species
CCUACGGGUGGCAGCAGUCGAGAAUUUUUCUCAAUGGGGGAAACCCUGAAGGAGCGACGCCGCGUGGAGGAUGAAGGUCUUCGGGUUGUAAACUCCUGUCAUUUGGGAACUAGUACCAGAAGAGGAAGAGACGGCUAACUCUGUGCCAGCAGCCGCGGUAAUACAGAGGUCUCAAGCGUUGUUCGGAUUCAUUGGGCGUAAAGGGUGCGUAGGUGGCGCCAUAAGUCAGGUGUGAAAUCUCGGGGCUUAACUCCGAAACUGCAUUUGAUACUGUGGUGCUUGAGGACUGGAGAGGAGACUGGAAUUUACGGUGUAGCAGUGAAAUGCGUAGAGAUCGUAAGGAAGACCAGUGGCGAAGGCGGGUCUCUGGACAGUCCUGACACUGAGGCACGAAGGCCAGGGGAGCAAACGGGAUUAGAUACCCUAGUAGUC